ACAGCCAUUUCUGAGAUUUUGAUGUCGUAGAUACUGCAUCAGGAACUGAUUGGAUAAUAUUCAGGCACCAUCAGUUCCUAAUGCAUUGCCUUCAGCAUCUAAACAA
rnacentral:pre_miRNA from 15 species